rnacentral:rRNA from 1 species
CGGCAGCACGGGAGCAAUCCUGGUGGCGAGUGGCGAACGGGUGAGUAAUACAUCGGAACGUGUCCUGUAGUGGGGGAUAGCCCGGCGAAAGCCGGAUUAAUACCGCAUACGCUCUACGGAGGAAAGGGGGGGAUCUUAGGACCUCCCGCUACAGGGGCGGCCGAUGGCAGAUUAGCUAGUUGGUGGGGUAAAGGCCUACCAAGGCGACGAUCUGUAGCUGGUCUGAGAGGACGACCAGCCACACUGGGACUGAGACACGGCCCAGACUCCUACGGGAGGCAGCAGUGGGGAAUUUUGGACAAUGGGGGAAACCCUGAUCCAGCAAUGCCGCGUGUGUGAAGAAGGCCUUCGGGUUGUAAAGCACUUUUGUCCGGAAAGAAAACCUCUGGGUUAAUACCCCGGGGGGAUGACGGUACCGGAAGAAUAAGCACCGGCUAACUACGUGCCAGCAGCCGCGGUAAUACGUAGGGUGCAAGCGUUAAUCGGAAUUACUGGGCGUAAAGCGUGCGCAGGCGGUUCGCUAAGACAGAUGUGAAAUCCCCGGGCUUAACCUGGGAACUGCAUUUGUGACUGGCGGGCUAGAGUAUGGCAGAGGGGGGUAGAAUUCCACGUGUAGCAGUGAAAUGCGUAGAGAUGUGGAGGAAUACCGAUGGCGAAGUCAGCCCCCUGGGCCAAUACUGACGCUCAUGCACGA